AACGCAUAUUGCACCCUCUGGUAUUCCGGAGGGUACACCUGUUUGAGCGCCAUUUCGAACUUCAAGCAUAGCUUGGUGUUGGGUAAAGUCCUUAGAAAAAAAAAGGGACUUACCCUUAACUCGUAGGCGAUCAUGGCACACUUCUCCCAGCGUAGCAGGCUUACGCACCUCGCUCGGGGAUAGGAGGUUUGAUCACCUUUUAGUGACAAAUUCAUGGUUUGGCCUCAAAUCAGGUGGGGAUACCCGCUGAACUUAA
rnacentral:misc_RNA from 1 species